ensembl:lncRNA
AUGCCUAGGGGCCAGGCAGCUGGCGGCGGAGGAAGGGAGCUGGGGGUGGGGGUGCAGGGGUUUGAGGAAACGGCUGGUCAGUCUGACAGUCUCUGUAUGCAGAUCUUCCUCUGGAUAGAAGAAGGAUGAGAGCAGUUUGAGAGAGGACAGACCAGAAGCAGAUUGCCAUUAGGAGCCGGCAGCCCUCUGCCUGCCCUCCAGGCCUCAAGAUGUUGGCCGGUCAGGCAUUGCGUGCACUUCCUGAUAUGUUUCCCCGCUUGUUCAUCAGUGACCCACAAUGCUGUCUUCCUUCAGCCUGAGUAUUUAGCCAAGCCUGGAAAUCACAACUUAAGGUGUAAAUCGAAAGACAAAGUGAGUGCCACCUCAUGGCACGAGCCAGCACAGGCCUACCCGCCCGCGUCCUGCCAGUACCGGUGCCCCCAGGAGCACGGUGGGGCAGGGGAGUUACUGGGCAGGGGAGGCUAGGCACGGGACGAAGGGCUGGGCUUCCCCCUGAGCGGUCCUGCCCACUUCCCAACUCUAUGUAUGAUCAGAAAUUCGCUUUGUCAAGAUGUGAACUGAAAUAAAUUUAAGCCUGG